rnacentral:rRNA from 1 species
AACGAACGCUGGCGGCAUGCCUAACACAUGCAAGUCGAACGAGACCUUCGGGUCUAGUGGCGCACUGGUGCGUAACGCGUGGGAACCUGCCCUUAGGUUCGGAAUAACUCCCCGAAAGGGGUGCUAAUACCGGAUAAUGUCUUCGGACCAAAGAUUUAUCGCCUUUGGAUGGGCCCGCGUUGGAUUAGCUAGUUGGUAGGGUAAAAGCCUACCAAGGCGACGAUCCAUAGCUGGUCUGAGAGGAUGAUCAGCCACACUGGGACUGAGACACGGCCCAGACUCCUACGGGAGGCAGCAGUGGGGAAUAUUGGACAAUGGGCGAAAGCCUGAUCCAGCAAUGCCGCGUGAGUGAUGAAGGCCUGAGGGUUGUAAAGCUCUUUUACCCGGGAUGAUAAUGACAGUACCGGGAGAAUAAGCACCGGCUAACUCCGUG